rnacentral:misc_RNA from 1 species
CCUCUUCAAAGUUGUAUAUGGUUGGACUUGGAACGUCAAAUCCAAAAAUUUCCAUAGGUCCGGAUAAUACUAGAGUUAAGCUCUCCAAAUUGGGGCAACUCACUAAUAGGCAAGAUAUUCUGGGCAAUUCUUUCUUUGAUAAGCCUAUUAUCAAUCUUAAGUGCAUCAGUUUUUGGAGUGGAAUAUGCAGUCUCUGCAGCAAUGUUGACUCAACAGGUAUAACCUUCAAAUGAAACCAGAAAAACUUAC